AAAUCCUUUUAAUAAGCAGUCCAGAGAGGCUGACAAAGGAUGGGUGGCUUCAUUAAGCCCUCUUUGUCAGCCUCUAUGACAAAGAGGGCUUUUUAU
rfam:Bacillus ginsengihumi strain M2.11 NODE_9, whole genome shotgun sequence.